UACGUAGGGCGCAAGCGUUUGUCCGGAAUUAUUGGGCGUAAAGAGCUCGUAGGUGGCUUGUCACGUCGGGUGUGAAAGCUUGGGGCUUAACUCCAGGUCUGCAUUCGAUACGGGCUGGCUAGAGGUAGGUAGGGGAGAACGGAAUUCCUGGUGUAGCGGUGAAAUGCGCAGAUAUCAGGAGGAACACCGGUGGCGAAGGCGGUUCUCUGGGCCGUUACCUGACGCUGAGGAGCGAAAGCGUGGGGAGCGAACAGG
rnacentral:rRNA from 1 species